rnacentral:rRNA from 1 species
GGGUUGUGAGGUUAAGCGACUAAGCGUACACGGUGGAUGCCCUGGCAGUCAGAGGCGAUGAAGGACGUGCUAAUCUGCGAAAAGCGUCGGUAAGGUGAUAUGAACCGUUAUAACCGGCGAUGUCCGAAUGGGGAAACCCAGUGCAAUUCGUUGCACUAUCGUUAACUGAAUACAUAGGUUAACGAGGCGAACCGGGGGAACUGAAACAUCUAAGUACCCCGAGGAAAAGAAAUCAACCGAGAUUCCCCCAGUAGCGGCGAGCGAACGGGGAGCAGCCCAGAGUCUGAAUCAGCUUGUGUGUUAGUGGAACGGUCUGGAAAGUCCGACGGUACAGGGUGAUAGUCCCGUACACCAAAAUGCACAGGUUGUGAACUCGAAGAGUAGGGCGGGACACGUGGUAUCCUGUCUGAAUAUGGGGGGACCAUCCUCCAAGGCUAAAUACUCCUGACUGACCGAUAGUGAACCAGUACCGUGAGGGAAAGGCGAAAAGAACCCCGGCGAGGGGAGUGAAAAAGAACCUGAAACCGUGUACGUACAAGCAGUGGGAGCACCUUCGGGUGUGACUGCGUACCUUUUGUAUAAUGGGUCAGCGACUUAUAUUCUGUAGCAAGGUUAACCGUAUAGGGGAGCCGCAGGGAAACCGAGUCUUAACUGGGCGUUAAGUUGCAGGGUAUAGACCCGAAACCCGGUGAUCUAGCCAUGGGCAGGUUGAAGGUUGGGUAACACUAACUGGAGGACCGAACCGACUAAUGUUGAAAAAUUAGCGGAUGACUUGUGGCUGGGGGUGAAAGGCCAAUCAAACCGGGAGAUAGCUGGUUCUCCCCGAAAGCUAUUUAGGUAGCGCCUCGUGAAUUCAUCUUCGGGGGUAGAGCACUGUUUCGGCUAGGGGGUCAUCCCGACUUACCAACCCGAUGCAAACUACGAAUACCGAAGAAUGUUAUCACGGGAGACACACGGCGGGUGCUAACGUCCGUCGUGAAGAGGGAAACAACCCAGACCGCCAGCUAAGGUCCCAAAGUCAUGGUUAAGUGGGAAACGAUGUGGGAAGGCACAGACAGCCAGGAUGUUGGCUUAGAAGCAGCCAUCAUUUAAAGAAAGCGUAAUAGCUCACUGGUCGAGUCGGCCUGCGCGGAAGAUGUAACGGGGCUAAACCAUGCACCGAAGCUGCGGCAGCGACACUAUGUGUUGUUGGGUAGGGGAGCGUUCUGUAAGCCUGCGAAGGUGACCUGUGAGGGUUGCUGGAGGUAUCAGAAGUGCGAAUGCUGACAUAAGUAACGAUAAAGCGGGUGAAAAGCCCGCUCGCCGGAAGACCAAGGGUUCCUGUCCAACGUUAAUCGGGGCAGGGUGAGUCGACCCCUAAGGCGAGGCCGAAAGGCGUAGUCGAUGGGAAACAGGUUAAUAUUCCUGUACUUGGUGUUACUGCGAAGGGGGGACGGAGAAGGCUAUGUUAGCCGGGCGACGGUUGUCCCGGUUUAAGCAUGUAGGCUGAUUGUCCAGGCAAAUCCGGAUAAUCAAGGCUGAGGUGUGAUGACGAGGCACUACGGUGCUGAAGUAACAAAUGCCCUGCUUCCAGGAAAAGCCUCUAAGCAUCAGGUAACAUCAAAUCGUACCCCAAACCGACACAGGUGGUCAGGUAGAGAAUACCAAGGCGCUUGAGAGAACUCGGGUGAAGGAACUAGGCAAAAUGGUGCCGUAACUUCGGGAGAAGGCACGCUGGUGUGUAGGUGAAGUCCCUGCGGAUGGAGCUGAGACCAGUCGAAGAUACCAGCUGGCUGCAACUGUUUAUUAAAAACACAGCACUGUGCAAACACGAAAGUGGACGUAUACGGUGUGACGCCUGCCCGGUGCCGGAAGGUUAAUUGAUGGGGUUAUCCGUAAGGAGAAGCUCUUGAUCGAAGCCCCGGUAAACGGCGGCCGUAACUAUAACGGUCCUAAGGUAGCGAAAUUCCUUGUCGGGUAAGUUCCGACCUGCACGAAUGGCGUAAUGAUGGCCAGGCUGUCUCCACCCGAGACUCAGUGAAAUUGAACUCGCUGUGAAGAUGCAGUGUACCCGCGGCAAGACGGAAAGACCCCGUGAACCUUUACUAUAGCUUGACACUGAACAUUGAGCCUUGAUGUGUAGGAUAGGUGGGAGGCUUUGAAGCGUGGACGCCAGUCUGCGUGGAGCCAACCUUGAAAUACCACCCUUUAAUGUUUGAUGUUCUAACGUUGGCCCCUUACCGGGGUUGCGGACAGUGUCUGGUGGGUAGUUUGACUGGGGCGGUCUCCUCCCAAAGCGUAACGGAGGAGCACGAAGGUUAGCUAAUCCUGGUCGGACAUCAGGAGGUUAGUGCAAUGGCAUAAGCUAGCUUGACUGCGAGCGUGACGGCGCGAGCAGGUGCGAAAGCAGGUCAUAGUGAUCCGGUGGUUCUGAAUGGAAGGGCCAUCGCUCAACGGAUAAAAGGUACUCCGGGGAUAACAGGCUGAUACCGCCCAAGAGUUCAUAUCGACGGCGGUGUUUGGCACCUCGAUGUCGGCUCAUCACAUCCUGGGGCUGAAGUAGGUCCCAAGGGUAUGGCUGUUCGCCAUUUAAAGUGGUACGCGAGCUGGGUUUAGAACGUCGUGAGACAGUUCGGUCCCUAUCUGCCGUGGGCGCUGGAGAAUUGAGGGGGGCUGCUCCUAGUACGAGAGGACCGGAGUGGACGCAUCACUGGUGUUCGGGUUGUCAUGCCAAUGGCACUGCCCGGUAGCUAAAUGCGGAAGAGAUAAGUGCUGAAAGCAUCUAAGCACGAAACUUGCCCCGAGAUGAGUUCUCCCUGAGACUUUAAGUCUCCUGAAGGAACGUUGAAGACGACGACGUUGAUAGGCCGGGUGUGUAAGCGCAGCGAUGCGUUGAGCUAACCGGUACUAAUGAACCGUGAGGCUUAACCUUACAACGCCGAAG